rnacentral:rRNA from 1 species
AUUGAACGCUGGCGGCAUGCCUUACACAUGCAAGUCGAACGGUAACAGGUCUUCGGAUGCUGACGAGUGGCGAACGGGUGAGUAAUACAUCGGAACGUACCUUUUAGUGGGGGAUAACUAUCCGAAAGGAUAGCUAAUACCGCAUACGUCCUGAGGGAGAAAGCAGGGGAUCUUCGGACCUUGUGCGAUUGGAGCGGCCGAUGUCAGAUUAGCUAGUUGGUGAGGUAAAAGCUCACCAAGGCGACGAUCUGUAGCUGGUCUGAGAGGAUGAGCAGCCACACUGGAACUGAGACACGGUCCAGACUCCGACGGGAGGCAGCAGUGGGGAAUUUUGGACAAUGGGCGCAAGCCUGAUCCAGCCAUGCCGCGCGAGUGAAGAAGGCCUUCGGGUUGUAAAGCUCUUUCGGCCGGGAAAAAAUCGGGUUGGCUAAUAUCCAACCUGGAUGAUGGUACCGGAAUAAGAAGCACCGGCUAACUACGUGCCAGCCGCCGCAGUAACAC